rnacentral:rRNA from 1 species
GACGUAGGUGGCGAACGUUAUCCGGAAUUAUUGGGCGUAAAGGGUGCGUAGGCGGCGCGGUAAGUCGGGUGUGAAAUCUCGGGGCUUAACUCCGAAACUGCAUUCGAUACUGCCGUGCUUGAGGACUGGAGAGGAGACUGGAAUUCCCGGUGUAGUGGUGAAAUGCGUAGAUAUCGGGAGGAACACCAGUGGCGAAGGCGGCUUUCUGGUCUGCUCUUGACGCUGAGGCGCGAAAGCUAGGGUAGCAAACGGG